rnacentral:misc_RNA from 1 species
AUAUGGAUCAUUUUCACCAUUCAAAUUAGUUAGGUAUUAGGUCCGCAUCAAUAGCCAAAACUUGUAAACCUUUUGAUAUUUCUUUCCUCCACAUCAUCUUAGGUUUCCCCCUUCCCUUUCACUCCCUCCCCUAUUAACUUACUACACUUCCAUAUUGGAACAUUUGAUUCUCUGUGUUAUACAUGACCAAACCAUCUUAAACUACCCUUUCUCAUUUUUCUCUAAUAUGUGCAUCUUGUAGCCCACCCAUGGAUUUAGUUUCUACAAUCAAAAUCAAUAUUAAAAUAUGAAAUUCAAGUAAAUUCUAUGUGACACUUGUUAGGUGUAAUUUCAUCGUUAAAAUUCAGUUACCCUUACUUUGUAAAACACCCUAAAUGGUAAAACAAUAAUAUAUUUUUUUUUUCAAUUGUUCAACUAUUAAAUCAAAAGGUUUGAAAUAGUAAUAUAUUUGUGAAAUUGUUAGACUAUCAAACUAAAAAUGAAAAUUCGAUUUUGCCACUCCAAAAUUGAAAUUGAUUAAUAGAAAUAGAAUGAAAUUAUAACUAGUAUUUCUAGUUAAUAUGAUAAGGGAAAAUCUAACUAAAAAACUAACUUAUAAGAAUUACAAUAUCAUGAUUUUUAAUAAAUUCUAGGAACCAAUUAUAAUAACAAUGAUUUACUCAAUUGCAAUUAAAGUAAAAUUUGAGAAAAGUUCAUAUAUAAGAAUCACAAUAACAUGAUUUUAAUAAUAUAGCAUUUCACAAUUUCAAGGACCGAUGAUAAUUAUAACAAGUUAUCUAUUCAUUAAAAUUAAUAAAACCUUAAAA